AGAGUUUGAUCCUGGCUCAGGAUGAACGCUGGCGGCGUGCCUAAUACAUGCAAGUCGAGCGAACGGACGAGAAGCUUGCUUCUCUGAUGUUAGCGGCGGACGGGUGAGUAACACGUGGAUAACCUACCUAUAAGACUGGGAUAACUUCGGGAAACCGGAGCUAAUACCGGAUAAUAUUUUGAACCGCAUGGUUCAAAAGUAAAAGACGGUCUUGCUGUCACUUAUAGAUGGAUCCGCGCUGCAUUAGCUAGUUGGUAAGGUAACGGCUUACCAAGGCAACGAUGCAUAGCCGACCUGAGAGGGUGAUCGGCCACACUGGAACUGAGACACGGUCCAGACUCCUACGGGAGGCAGCAGUAGGGAAUCUUCCGCAAUGGGCGAAAGCCUGACGGAGCAACGCCGCGUGAGUGAUGAAGGUCUUCGGAUCGUAAAACUCUGUUAUUAGGGAAGAACAUAUGUGUAAGUAACUGUGCACAUCUUGACGGUACCUAAUCAGAAAGCCACGGCUAACUACGUGCCAGCAGCCGCGGUAAUACGUAGGUGGCAAGCGUUAUCCGGAAUUAUUGGGCGUAAAGCGCGCGUAGGCGGUUUUUUAAGUCUGAUGUGAAAGCCCACGGCUCAACCGUGGAGGGUCAUUGGAAACUGGAAAACUUGAGUGCAGAAGAGGAAAGUGUAAUUCCAUGUGUAGCGGUGAAAUGCGCAGAGAUAUGGAGGAACACCAGUGGCGAAGGCGACUUUCUGGUCUGUAACUGACGCUGAUGUGCGAAAGCGUGGGGAUCAAACAGGAUUAGAUACCCUGGUAGUCCACGCCGUAAACGAUGAGUGCUAAGUGUUAGGGGGUUUCCGCCCCUUAGUGCUGCAGCUAACGCAUUAAGCACUCCGCCUGGGGAGUACGACCGCAAGGUUGAAACUCAAAGGAAUUGACGGGGACCCGCACAAGCGGUGGAGCAUGUGGUUUAAUUCGAAGCAACGCGAAGAACCUUACCAAAUCUUGACAUCCUUUGACAACUCUAGAGAUAGAGCCUUCCCCUUCGGGGGACAAAGUGACAGGUGGUGCAUGGUUGUCGUCAGCUCGUGUCGUGAGAUGUUGGGUUAAGUCCCGCAACGAGCGCAACCCUUAAGCUUAGUUGCCAUCAUUAAGUUGGGCACUCUAAGUUGACUGCCGGUGACAAACCGGAGGAAGGUGGGGAUGACGUCAAAUCAUCAUGCCCCUUAUGAUUUGGGCUACACACGUGCUACAAUGGACAAUACAAAGGGCAGCGAAACCGCGAGGUCAAGCAAAUCCCAUAAAGUUGUUCUCAGUUCGGAUUGUAGUCUGCAACUCGACUACAUGAAGCUGGAAUCGCUAGUAAUCGUAGAUCAGCAUGCUACGGUGAAUACGUUCCCGGGUCUUGUACACACCGCCCGUCACACCACGAGAGUUUGUAACACCCGAAGCCGGUGGAGUAACCUUUUAGGAGCUAGCCGUCGAAGGUGGGACAAAUGAUUGGGGUGAAGUCGUAACAAGGUAGCCGUAUCGGAAGGUGCGGCUGGAUCACCU
rnacentral:rRNA from 1 species